CAGUAGCCGCGGUAAUACGAAGGGGGCCAGCGUUGUUCGGAUUUACUGGGCGUAAAGCGCACGUAGGCGGAUCGAUCAGUCAGGGGUGAAAUCCCAGAGCUCAACUCUGGAACUGCCUUUGAUACUGUCGAUCUGGAGUAUGGAAGAGGUGAGUGGAAUUCCGAGUGUAGAGGUGAAAUUCGUAGAUAUUCGGAGGAACACCAGUGGCGAAGGCGGCUCACUGGUCCAUUACUGACGCUGAGGUGCGAAAGCGUGGGGAGCAAACAGGAUUAGAUACCCCGGUAGUCCCUGUCUCUUAUAC
rnacentral:rRNA from 1 species